UGAAAACAGCAGCUAUUAUAGACACCAAAUCCAAUAAAGAAAACAGAAUAUCAGAAACGGAUACUGUAUGUAUAGCAGAGAAGUCCUGCGGCACUACUGAUGGUAAUAUGAAAAUUCAAUAAUUACUUUGAUAUGGACGGUAGUUGUAGAUGAUGUUGCCUUUCCUUUAUGAAAAUAAUGAACAUUUCUUACACUGUUCUUUUGAUAUGUGAAAUAUUAAUCUCCCUAGUUCAUCAGUAGAACUAUAACCACAGAAUAUAAAAACACACUUAAACUUUUAUUGCGAUUCUCAUCAAAUGAUGUGACCCGAAGAAAAGCUGAGGUGAUUCUUGUAUAGACAGUAUGGCUUCACUUAGCACAGUCAUCGAGGUCUGAGUCACUCACUUUCUAACUUUCUUCCUUCCAAAUAUCAAUUAUUCCUAUGAGAACGAUGACUUCAGUAAGUGAAAAUGACUUCAGUGAGGAGAACAGCUUUCUUAAACGAUGAUCUUGGUAGUGGUAGGUAAUGGUGUUCAUGGUCACAUCCAUCUCUCCACUGACUUUCUUCCAGAUACAGAAUAUAUGGAUGACGACACCACCGACGAUGACUUGGGUAAGGAGAACAGCCUUCAAAGUGAUGAUCUUUGUUUGUGAUGGUAGGUCAUUCCAGGUCACAUCCAUCUCUCCACUGACUUUCUUUCAGAUACCGAAUAUAUGGAUGAUGACACCAACAAAGAUGACUUGGGUAAGGAGAACAGCCUUCAAAGUGAUGAUCUUUGUUUGUGAUGGUAGGUCAUUCCAGGUCACAUCCAUCUCUCCACUGACUUUCUUCCAGAUACUGAUGAUCUUGAUGAAUUCGACUCUGAAAAUGACACUGAUAGUGACAGCAUCUUUUCAAAUGUUUAUGAUGGCAGUAGUGGUGCUGAUGACACGGAGGAUAGCAACAGCAAGACUGAUAUGUCUAGUGACAGUCCAGAAACAAAACAAUAUGUUGGUGUGCUGUCUGACAAGAACCAGAAGAAGACCACCCCUGAAAAGAAGACAAAUCUAUCACCAGUUAAGGUCCAGUCGAGGAAGUACAGAUACAUUAGUUCGAUGAUGAGAAGGCUGGGGCUCAGGCACUCCAAGUCCUCCAUUAUGAGCCCUGAAACAGCAACUGCGGCAGAAAAUGUCUGCAGCACCAGUGACGACAUGGCUCCAGACACUGUUGUCGUGGAUGAGAAUUCUGUAAGUCAGUUGACUCCUGAGACCGUCGUGAAUUGCGAAGACUGUGAAUUAUAUAAGGAUGACAAAGAAACUAGCUCAGAAGAAGGGACAAAACAAUCUUUAAUUGUGGUCCAGUCAAAGAAGCGCAGAUACAUAAUUGCUGCCUUGAGAAAACUGGGCAUUCGGUGUUCUGUAAACCUAGCCAACACAAGAAAACGUGAACCAUCGUGGAUGAAGACAGAAGAAAGAACCCGUAUCACCAAUGAUGAUUCGACUGAGGAGGACCAAAAGAAGACACCACCAGAAGAGGAAAAACCAUCCCCGGUUGCGGUCCAGUCAAGGAAAUGGGGAUUCUUUCGUGACUUCAUGAGACGAAUGCGUUCUGAAGGCGGCAAGCCCCAGAGCAACACUGAACAACCAGACAUUGUCGUCCUAUAUAGUGCACAAAAUGCCAGCACCACUGAUGGUACUGUGGAAAUUCAUUAUUUAGUAUGGAAUUUUCAUAUUAGUUAUAGAUUUUACUGCACCUCCUUCGUGAAAGGAAUGGAGAUGUCUUGUAGUAUUUUUAAAGUACUUUCCUUUUAUAACUGGUAACCUGAAUUUGAUUCCUGG
rnacentral:lncRNA from 1 species